UGGGGAAUUUUGCACAAUGGGGGAAACCCUGAUGCAGCGACGCCGCGUGAUUUAGAAGGCCUUCGGGUUGUAAAAAUCUUUUGUAUAGGAAGAAAAUGACAGUACUAUACGAAUAAGGACCGGCUAAUUACGUGCCAGCAGCCGCGGUAAUACGUAAGGUCCGAGCGUUGUCCGGAAUCAUUGGGCGUAAAGGGUACGUAGGCGGGUAAGCAAGUUAGAAGUGAAAUCCUAUAGCUCAACUAUAGUAAGCUUUUAAAACUGCUCAUCUUGAGGUAUGGAAGGGAAAGUGGAAUUCCUAGUGUAGCGGUGAAAUGCGCAGAUAUUAGGAGGAAUACCGGUGGCGAAGGCGACUUUCUGGCCAUAACCUGACGCUGAGGUACGAAAGCGUGGGUAGCAAACAGG
rnacentral:rRNA from 3 species